GGGUGAGUGGAAUUCCAAGUGUAGAGGUGAAAUUCGUAGAUAUUUGGAGGAACACCAGUGGCGAAGGCGGCUCUCUGGCUCGAUACUGACGCUGAGGUGCGAAAGUGUGGGGAGCAAACAGGAUUAGAUACCCUGGUAGUCCAC
rnacentral:rRNA from 1 species